UCGGCCCCUAAGGCGAGGCAGAGAUGCGUAGCUGAUGGGAAACAGGUCAAUAUUCCUGUACCGAUCAAUAGUGCGAUGUGGGGACGGAGAAGGUUAGCUCAGCCACCUGUUGGAAUAGGUGGUUCAAGCGUGUAGUCGUGCCUGGUAGGCAAAUCCGCCGGGCUUAGAUGAGGCGUGAUAACGAGUGUGCUUGCACACGAAGUGAGUGAUACCCUGCUUCCAGGAAAAGCCACUAAGCUUCAGCUAUUGAUUGACCGUACCGCAAACCGACACUGGUGCGCGAGAUGAGUAUUCUAAGGCGCUUGAGAGAACUCUGGAGAAGGAACUCGGCAAAUUGAUACCGUAACUUCGGGAGAAGGUAUGCCCUCGGUAUGUGAAGUUGAACAAACGGAGCAGAAAAGGGUUGCAAAAAAUCGGUGGCUGCAACUGUUUAAUAAAAACACAGCACUCUGCAAACACGAAAGUGGACGUAUAGGGUGUGACGCCUGCCCGGUGCUGGAAGAUUAAAUGAUGGGGUGCAAGCUCUUGAUUGAAGUCCCAGUAAACGGCGGCCGUAACUAUAACGGUCCUAAGGUAGCGAAAUUCCUUGUCGGGUAAGUUCCGACCUGCACGAAUGGCGUAAUGAUGGCCACACUGUCUCCUCCAGAGACUCAGCGAAGUUGAAAUGUUUGUGAUGAUGCAAUCUCCCCGCGGAAAGACGGAAAGACCCCAUGAACCUUUACUGUAGCUUUGUAUUGGACUUUGAACCGAUCUGUGUAGGAUAGGUGGGAGGCUUUGAAGCCAGGACGCUAGUUCUGGUGGAGCCGACGUUGAAAUACCACCCUGGUGCGUUUGAGGUUCUAACCUAGGUCCCUAAUCGGGAUCGGGGACCGUGCAUGGUAGGCAGUUUGACUGGGGCGGUCUCCUCCUAAAGGGUAACGGAGGAGUUCGAAGGUACGCUAGGUACGGUCGGACAUCGUGCUAAUAGUGCAAUGGCAUAAGCGUGCUUAACUGCGAGACUGACAAGUCGAGCAGAUGCGAAAGCAGGACAUAGUGAUCCGGUGGU
rnacentral:rRNA from 1 species